rnacentral:rRNA from 1 species
CCAGAGAACUUAGCAGAGAUGCUUUGGUGCCUUCGGGAACUCUGAGACAGGUGCUGCAUGGCUGUCGUCAGCUCGUGUUGUGAAAUGUUGGGUUAAGUCCCGCAACGAGCGCAACCCUUAUCCUUUGUUGCCAGCGAUUCGGUCGGGAACUCAAAGGAGACUGCCGGUGAUAAACCGGAGGAAGGUGGGGAUGACGUCAAGUCAUCAUGGCCCUUACGGCCAGGGCUACACACGUGCUACAAUGGCGCAUACAAAGAGAAGCGACCUCGCGAGAGCAAGCGGACCUCAUAAAGUGCGUCGUAGUCCGGAUUGGAGUCUGCAACUCGACUCCAUGAAGUCGGAAUCGCUAGUAAUCGUAGAUCAGAAUGCUACGGUGAAUAUGUUCCCGGGCCUUGUACACACCGCCCGUCACACCAUGGGAGUGGGUUGCAAAAGAAGUAGGUAGCUUAACCUUCGGGAGGGCGCUUACCACUUUGUGAUUCAUGACUGGGGUGAAGUCGUAACAAGGUAAGCGUACUACA